AUCAACAUUAAAUAACAUAGGCCAAAAAUCACCAAUAAAAUAAGGCUUUUCAUUACACAGGGGCUUCUGGAAGUUGAAGUCCAAAGCACUGGAGAACCAAAGUUUGGGAACCACUCUAGAUAUCCAUUAGAGAUAGGCUUUCGGGGCUAACCUUGUUCUGUUUCGUGUCUCAGCUUUCGUCGAGGCCCUGAUCCAUUUUCGUCUGACCUCCAGAAAUCAGGAGAUCAAGGUCAUGUUCCACAAUCAGUGCAAGAAAUUACUGGUGGAAUGAAUGAAAGCAAACCUCUGAAGCUUAGUCCAGAUUUAGCUGAUCUACCAAUGACCAGAGAUGUCGGUCACUAGAUCAGUACUUGAAGAUGGUUCUCAUUUUCUAACAAAAGGCUGGAUUUUAAGUGCCUGAGAAAAAGAAGAAUUAAGUCGCAAUACUGAAACGCACACUAGGAGGUGCAGAACUUGGGAAAAUACUUUUAAGAAGAAUCAAAAUAUUGACACACUGAAGCGUUUUAAAGCAUAAUAAGAUAGACAGGCAUAACACCCGAAGAAGUGACAACGAAACAAGGGGAACAACCCAGGAGACCUUGUUGUGUACCAGUCUUGGCGUUGCAUAUCAUACGAAGAAUUUCUUUAAAUAUAGAAGCUGUUAUCUUGGAGACUGAAUUUCUUUACUACAAUUGACAUUGGCCCAAGAUUUCGCACAGCUCCAGGAAUUAUAUGGACUUGGUUGUCUCUUUAUGUCUGUUAUUUACUCCUUGAACAUUAUACCCUUUGUUGGAUUAUGACAUGGAAAUUGUAACUUUACUUUUGAUAUUCUGAAAGUAUUUCGUUAUAUGUAAUAUAGUUUGAAGUAACUUACUCUCAGGUAAAGUUGUAGAAACCAGAUUUGUGUUAUAUUCCUUGUGAGUUACACAAGAGUGUAUAUACACAUACAUUAUUGUUCUGUGUUGUUAUAGAUAUUUGUGCAUUACCCGCUUACAUUAUCUCUUGCUAUCCUUUUUUCAUACCCUCCAUGCCUGAACUGAACAAGAAUAUAGAAUUUCCUCUUCCCAAAGUGAAAGCCUAUCAUCCCUUACAAAAGAUACCUAUUCUAGUUGCAAUAGUUUUUGGUUUUUUUCUUUAAAUUGAUUGUUAUCUCAUUUCAUUUUACAGCACUAAACAGCCCAUCUUCUUUGUUAACAAAUGACACUUUAUAAUUGUAUAAAUAUCAUUUCUUGUAACAACUCACAUCAAUAUAAUAUAAUUUUGUAUGAGUUUUUUUUUUAAUGUGUGCUUUUAAAAUGUUGGAUCCUUUGUUGGGAGAAAGCUGAGAUAUUAAUUAGUCAAUUAAUUAAUUGUAUUGACCAACCCCACCUAAUAUGUUCAAAAUAGACAGAUGUCCCCUCCACUUCCAACCUUCCGUUUAGCAUCAGUCUGAUUCAACAAAGAACAGAAGCACAAGCUUUUUAUUUUGUGUUUCCCCCCCCUAAAAGUCUUUGUGGGGAUCAAACUAUCUUAGAGGAGCUCUCACAUCUCUCUUCUCCCCCUCCUUUUCAGCACCAUGCCCGGAAUAAUCCUGCUCCCAGACUCUCCUCGCUGGCCUUCAAUAAGGACAGUAUGUGUUGUGUAGCAGCUGCAACAAGGCCUCACAAAUGCUGGCUGACGAGAAGUGACAGCUCUGUAUAUCUCUCACUGGCACUGACAGCUGACAGAUGGAUACCACUCACACACAGAAAAAAAGCCCCUAGGAUGAUUCGCCAACAUUACUCUCUGUUCAUAGGGGCCACACUUGAUUGAGUGCUGCUCAGAAUAAUAAACCCUUGUCGAUCCAUUCCAGA